rnacentral:rRNA from 1 species
UCCGGUUGAUCCUGCCGGAGACUACCGCUAUCGGAGUCCGAUUUAGCCAUGCUAGUCCACCGAACCUUUGGUUCGGGGCGGAAAGCUGAGUAACACGUGGCCAACCUACCCUGUGGACAGGAAUAACCUCGGGAAACUGAGGAUAAUGCCUGAUAGCAGAACCAUGCUGGAAACGCAGGUUCUGUGAAAUGACACGUCGCCACAGGAUGGGGCCGCGGCUGAUUAGGUUGUCGGUGAGGUAACGGCUCACCGAGCCCGUAAUCAGUAGCAGCCGUGGGAGCGGUAGCUGCCAGUCGUGUUCUGAGACAAGAACACGGGCCCUACGGGGCGCAGCAGGCACGAAACCUUUACAAUGCACGCGAGUGCGAUAGGGGGACUCCGAGUGCGUUCUUCCCACAAGGAAGGACGCUUUUCUGCACUGUAAGGAGGUGCAGGAACAAGGGGUGGGCAAGACUGCUGCCAGCCGCCGCGGUAAUAGCAGCACCCCGAGUGGUAGUCGUUAUUAUUGGGCUUAAAGUGUACGUAGCCGGACCUGUAAGUCUGUUGUGAAAUCCACGCGCUUAACGCAGUGGAAGCGCAACGGAUACUACAGGUCUAGGGACCGGAGGACGCCGAGGCUAUUCCAUGGGUAGGAGUGAAAUCCUAAGAUCCAUGGAGGAGCACCAGUGGCGAAAGCGCUCGGCGACUACGGAUCCGACGGUGAGGUACGAAAGCCAGGGGAGCAAAACGGAUUAGAUACCCGUGUAGUCCUGGCCGUCAACAUUGUCCGCUCGACAUGGCCCAACCUUUGUGGUUUGGCUGUGUCCAAGUGAAAACGUUAAGCGGACCGCCUGGGUAGUACGGUCGCAAGGCUGAAACUUAAAGGAAUUGACGGGGGAGCACCACAACCGGUGGGGGCUGCGGUUUAAUUAGAUCAAACGCAGCGCACCCUACCAGAGCCGACAGCAGAAUGACGGUCAGCUUGAAGAGCUUACCCGACGCGCUGAGAGGAGCUGCAUGGCCGCCGUCAGCUCGUGCCGCGAGGUGUCCGGUUAAGUCCGGUAACGAGCGAGACCCGUACCCUAUGUUGCCACGGAGACACUAGCUGUCUUCGGCACUCGUGGGGGACCGCUGGCGAUAAGCCAGAGGAAGGAGCGGGCCACGGUAGGUCAGUAUGGCCCGAAUGCUCUGGGAUACACGCGGCCCACAAUGGCCGGUACAAACAGAAGCCACCCCGAGAGGGGAAGCUAAUCUGCCAAAACCGGUCCCAGUCCGGAUCGAGGCCUGCAACUCGGCCUCGUGAAGUCGAAAUCGGUAGUAGUCGCUGGUCAUCAUCUAGCGGCGAAUAAGUCCCUGCUCCUUGUACACACCGCCUGUCAAGUCACCCAAGUCAGGUUCAGACGAGCCUCCCACCUAGUGGGAAGCAAGUCUGAGCUUGGCAAGGGGGGCUAAGUCAUAGCAAACAGUUGUGACCCCGAACCGGAAGGUU